rnacentral:rRNA from 1 species
UACGUAGGGACCAAGCGUUGUUCGGAUUUACUGGGCGUAAAGGGCGCGUAGGCGGCAAUUCAAGUCAGCUGUGAAAUCUCCGGGCUUAACUCGGAACGGUCAGCUGAUACUGCUUUGCUAGAGUGCAGAAGGGGCAAUCGGAAUUCCUGGUGUAGCGGUGAAAUGCGCAGAUAUCAGGAGGAACACCGGUGGCGAAGGCGGAUCUCUGGGCCUUACCUGACGCUGAGGCGCGAAAGCUAGGGGAGCGAACAGG